rnacentral:sRNA from 1 species
GGUGUGCUCUUGUGAUUGUGACUGACACAGGCAGCACCCUUUUGCAGAAGUAGAUGUGCGUUGCUGAGAAAUUUUCUGCCUAAGUUCUGGUUUUCUUUGCAGCACCCAGCAUUUGUUUCUAACACAGGGAAAGAGUGAGCUGUAAAAACCUCUCAAAUUCAAGAAAGCGUAAAGCAAAUUGAACAAUACGGGUGAGGAGCACGGACUAUUCUCUCAUGUUGAAUGUGGCACUUUUUACAUACAAGCAGGAGAGCAACUACACCAAGAUUUUGGAAAACAUGUUAUGUAAGUUUUUAUUUUUAAAAUCAGGAGAGAAUUUCUGCAACAUCCUAUGACCACAGAUCCCUACCCAUCUGCAUUGGGGCACUUACAGAUCACCUUCUCUUCUGAACUUUGUUAAUUGUGACCUCUAUGAUGGGGAUAUGAUAAAGAAGAAAAGUACCUCACAGCGAUGAUUGGCAUGUGAUCACUUAGCCAAUGAGAUAAGAGGCUGUAGAAACGAUGUGAUAAUGACAUCUCCUGAGUUGCAGGUCCAUAUUAGAAGUGGAUAUGAAGUAAACAUUGAGCUUUCCUCACAUUUAAUUAACAAGCUUUAUUAUAGAUACAGCUCAAAUUAGUUAAUUCAGGAAGCUUAUUUUGUAGAAAUUAAAACAUUAAUAAACACAUACAUUUAGAAAUAAAGAACUCGGCUGACCCUUUGACUCUUUGAAACAAGUGGCCUUCCAUGCUGUGAAAGAUUGUAGCCACUCUUUGAGACAUUGGAAUGGUGUCCAUUGCAUUUUAUCAAGUUAACUAUAGGUCAGCCUGGGAAAUCUGCAGUUUCCUUAUCUCCUGUCACUGUGGUUGCUGUGAGAUUUUGUGUCAUCACUGUGCUGUCUUCCCUCUCCACAUGAAGGUGAGCUGUCUGGCUUCACUCUAACGUUUGUGAUUUCACGCCCGACCUGAUUGUUGCCAAGCAAUUCCUUUGUUUGGAGAAUUCUGUGCUUUGUUUAGAAUUUUUUAAAGGUUCUUUUCCUGUGGUCAGAUUUCUGUUUGCUACUGUGUCUUAUGCCUUGUUCUCCUACAGAGAAGAUUCUUUGAAGUUAGUGGAAGCUCAGCUUAAAGGAAGAUCUACUGCUCUGUGUGGUGGAUGACCAUGGGGGAGCGAGAAGGCAGCCUCCGGCUUUUGUUUUGUGUGUGUGUGUGUGUGUGUGUGUGAUGUACCUGGAAAAAUAACACGAUUAGGAUUAAAGAGUAUGUUUGGCAUGUUUAAAAUAAAUUGUAAACCAAACGUAUUUUAAAGAAUUUAUACAAAUUUGUCAUUUAGUAAAAUGAAUGACUAUUGAGUAUUCAUGUCAAUAAAACAACCACUUGAAUACAACAAA